GGACUAAAGGUGUGAUUCCGCCUGUGGAGGAGCCUGCGUCCUAUUAGCUAGUUGGUGGGGUAACGGCCUACCAAGGCUGAGAUGGGUACGGGGUAUGAGAGUAUGCCCCCGCUCACUGGGACUGAGACACUGCCCAGACACCUACGGGUGGCUGCAGUCGAGGAUCUUCGGCAAUGGGCGCAAGCCUGACCGAGCGACGCCGCGUGUGGGAUGAAGGCCUUCGGGUUGUAAACCACUGUCAGUGGGGAGGAAAUACUAUAGGGUUCUCUCUGUAGUUUGACCUAUCCGCAGAGGAAGUACGGGCUAAGUUCGUGCCAGCAGCCGCGGUAAGACGAACCGUACAAACGUUAUUCGGAAUCACUGGGCUUAAAGGGUGCGUAGGCUGUCCGGUAAAGUUGGGUGUGAAAGCCCUCGGCUCAACCG
rnacentral:rRNA from 1 species